rnacentral:other from 1 species
UAAGCCCUACUGUGUGCGUGAGUCUGCCGGAGUUUUGAGCCAACACUUUAACAUUGGGAACCUUGAGCUCUAAACGUGGCAUGAAGGCCCCUUGCGCAGGGGAAUCAAGAAGCGUUUAGGAGGGUACCCACCUGCUUAGGCAGGUUCAAAACCCGGUUCCACGGCAUAGGUGGGGUUUGU